GCCUAAGCUCAUUCUCCCCAUGCCGUUUUAUACCAAUAUGCUAGUAAUUAGAAUAACAUGAUAGUUUAAGAAAUUCCAAUGCAUAAGUGAAAAGAACAUCCUAACAUUUUUUAUGCUCAUUCUAGCUGGAAACAUAUUCUUAAGAAAAGAAACCCCACAUAAUUUCAAGAAAACUAGAACAGCCUUUAACAAGGAACUGCAAAAAUGAACACUGUAUUCUCAUUUUACUUACUUUACUGAAGGUUGCAACAGUGCUCCAUCCUUGGUCCAUGUGUAUGUGACCUCACUGGGACUAACAAGGUCACAGACAAUAUUGAUAACCUCUGUCCUUUUUGUAAUGUAUACUGUGUUUCCAAUCCUCGCAGUUAUUGUUUUAUUGAAUGAAACUGAAGGGGGCUGGCUUUGCCUCACAAGAACGGGUCCUUUGGGCUUAAAUGUCAGCUUGCCUGCACUUUUCACACUUCCACUUUGGGGCGCACUCCCUGUUUGGUCUGUGAGUUGAGCAGAGGGCUGCAGCUCCUCCCUGAGUGCCCCUCCACUGUGGGGGCAUUGGCUGCACCUUCACCAACUCAGCUACCAACUGAUAAAUCACCUGCGAGGCGAAGUCCUCGCUCACCUCCCCAGUCUCCAUGAGCUGACUCAUGUUUCUUAUCAGUUCCUCAAACUGGACCGUAUCCAUGCUAUAUGCUCCCUGUUUGACAGCUGCUUCAAAUUGCUUAUUCUUAAACUCCCAGGAGUUGGUGUUGCCUGCAGGAUUGCUGCAGUGGCCAAACAGAGCUCUGAAGAAAGGCUGGUUAUUAAUUUGACCAUCAGGGAGGUAAAGCUCAUUUUUAUUACUCCACAUCUGCCACAUUUUCUGCCAAGUGGCUCCCAAACUAUUGGCCUCGGGGUGGUCCAUCCUGGGAUGCUCCCUCCCAUGCUGUCUGAGGGCUGGGUGUGCGAUGAGCCGGUUGUCCGUCCCGAUGAGCUUGAGGACAACUGUGUCCUGUGCAGAGCCUGCAAUGCAACCAUACACACCGAUGUCAGGGGCUUCGAGGCUGUGGAUUUUCAGCGAACCUGACUUAGUGAUGCUGAGUCGUUUGGAGUUCUGCAGGCAUUGACCAUCCUUCUCCCACCGGAUCAGAGAUCUCUGGAAUCGUCGCACUGGGCAUUUAAUGAUCACAGAGGUGUUGGGAAGCAAGUAGGCUCUGCUACCAAUGGUCAGAUUGAUCCGCUUCUCUACCCUGGUCCUCAGAUUCUCAGUGUGCAGAGAGUCUACAUUCAGACCAGGGUAGAGAAGCGGA
rnacentral:lncRNA from 1 species